GAUGAACGCUAGCGGGAGGCCUAACACAUGCAAGCCGAGCGGUAUUGUUUCUUCGGAAAUGAGAGAGCGGCGUACGGGUGCGUAACACGUGUGCAACCUGCCUUUAUCUGGGGGAUAGCCUUUCGAAAGGAAGAUUAAUACUCCAUAAUAUAUUGAACGGCAUCGUUUAAUAUUGAAAGCUCCGGCGGAUAGAGAUGGGCACGCGCAAGAUUAGCCAGUUGGUGAGGUAACGGCUCACCAAGGCGAUGAUCUUUAGGGGGCCUGAGAGGGUGAUCCCCCACACUGGUACUGAGACACGGACCAGACUCCUACGGGAGGCAGCAGUGAGGAAUAUUGGUCAAUGGGUGCAAGCCUGAACCAGCCAUCCCGCGUGAAGGACGACUGCCCUAUGGGUUGUAAACUUCUUUUGUAUAGGGAUAAACCUACCCUCGAGAGGGUAGCUGAAGGUACUAUACGAAUAAGCACCGGCUAACUCCGUGCCAGCCGCCGCGGUAAGAC
rnacentral:rRNA from 1 species